AUUUUUUUUAAACGUAUAUAGCAUCUGGCAAUGAUCGGGGGAAUGGCGAUGGUAAGCGAAUGAAGAAUGAUGUGUCGGCAAAAGCAUCUGGCAAUGAUCGGGGGAAUGGCGAUGGUAAGCGAAUGAAGAAUGAUGUGUCGGCAAAAGCAUCUGGCAAUGAUCGGGGGAAUGGCGAUGGUAAGCAAAUGAAGAAUGAUGUGUCGGCAAAAG